AGGAAAGCAGGAGAAAAGAAAUGCUCCUUUGUCUCGUGGCUGAACUGGUUGCCCUUGCUGGGACACAAGCAGUUCAUCUGGGCAGAGAAACCCACUGGCCCACUUGGCAUCCUGCGGCUCUUGGCACGCGUUAAACAGACACAAAGCUGUGCUCUGCUACUGAUCCUCGCAGCAGAAUCUCUGUGCUGUUUUCAGCCUGAGUGGUGGGAGAGGAAGGCUGCUGACGAAUGCAGUUGGGCAUUGAGGAGUCAUUCAAAAGCACCUGUUGCUGGGCUGUGCUGGAGCCGUGCGCCCAGUUAGUAGAAUCCUGCUGACCACAGCCACGUUGGCAUAUUCUUGUCACUCUUCCUACCUUGAUACAUAGCAAAAACCUUGUUUUGCCUCACAAACAAAAGUCUACUACAAAUUUAAUUUAUGCCAAAGAUAUUUACGAAGAUCAGAUGCUACUUUGCCACAGAGCCUGGCACCACCAGUAUGGAUGGAAAAUACUUAAACAUUGGUAUAGUAUUUCUUCUCAAUUUACUCCUUAUUUCUUGCAGUGAAGCUUUGAUUCUUCUUGACUGAAUUUUUCAUAGGCCUGUCUAGAUUUUAUUUAUAAAUAUUUUGGAUACCACUAACAAUAAACUCUUGUCUAGUGUAUGUUAUGAGUGUGUUGCUGCCUACCUUGCAAAGAACGUCUAUUUCAUAGGCCAGGGAAAGAGGUGUGAGGAUGUGACCAAGGUCGUCUUUCAGAGCAUGGCAGUAUGUGCUGUAAUUUAGUGACUGGCAGGAUAUUUAGUGUUUUAUUGGGCAUUAUGGAGCCAAACUUUACUAGAGCUCUCAGUACUGAUGAUCUGAGCAUCACUUGCCAACUUGUACCCUCAGAUGCUGUGCUAUAUCUGCUUAGGUCAGACUUCCAUUGGAGUAGGGGAUAUAUUUCUGCUUUUCCUAAUAUCAAAACAAUGCCCUUCAGCAUGGGUUGCAAUUAUGAGAAUCAAUCCAGCCUCAAAGCAAUGUCAUUGUCAAUGCUGUAUGUUGAAUUAAAUGUAGUCAUACUGCUGUUUACACUGGAAAAGGAUGGUCUAUGAAUAACUAUAUAAAAUAGUAUUCCCAUUUAAAUAUAUGCACUGAACAAAUAGUCAAGAGUUUGCAGUGUUUUUGAAAACUCGUAUUAUACUUGAGAGCCAUUAGUUCAGGAAAGGAGGAUAUUAGUACACG
ensembl:lncRNA